CUGCGGCAGCGCGGGCACCCGCCGGGCAGCGCCCCAGCCCUUGUUCCGCCGAGGCGGUGGUUCGCCGUACCGAGCUGUUACCGCUCCUAUCCGGAAGGCCGCAGGCGGCUCUUGGCGCCCGCUCCAGCACCGGCCGGGUUUCAGACCCAUCGCCUCGACCGCGAAGCGGCGCCGCCGUGCUGCGGCUGCCUGGAGCGCCACAGCAGAGCGGGGAAAGGCCCCGGGCCGGGCCGUGCGGGCACCGCUUGUCCCGUGCCGUGGCUCGCAGAGGGAAGGGCACGCGGGGCUGGCGCGCAGGUCGCUCGGGGGCAGGGUGACCGCUGCAGCCCCGCAGCGCAGACCGCGGCGGGUGAUGCUGCACCCGCGGGCAAGGUCACGACCUGUCCUUGCGCCAUGAAUGGGGCAGUUGUAGCAGGCAUGAAGGAACUUGACUGGGAGCUCAGCGUGAGGGGUUUGUCUCCGCUAACCCGCAGCUCUCAAGGGCAGUUCUAAGGAGCACACGCGUCUCCUUGGCGGGGAUGUUUGUCCCUCAGCUGCGGGUCUGCCCGAGCCUGGACUGCUGCGCCUGAGGGACGGCACCUCUGAUUGUUACAGCGUUUUCCCUUCUAUGAAGAAAUAAACCUCACGGUCACAGCCUUUUUUAUUGUUAAUGAGUUUAUUUUUCGUAAUAUUAAUUAAAUUCCGUAAUACACAAACUGGUAACUCAGUUUGUUGACCCGAAGGUGUUUACAGUAGCGGUGGGUGGUGUGGUGCCAACGCUCUGGCUUCUCAGCUUUUGGUGAUUUUCAUUAGUCGUCUUCUGUUCAUAUGGAAACCUUGAGUGUCAGGAGGAAGGUGGUGUCCUGUGCCCCGGCGCAGCCAUUCCUGUCCUGGAGGAUGACACUCUGACUCAUGCAGAGGAAAAGAACAGUUCUGUUGUAAAACACAACAGGAAGACAUCCAGCGGUGCUGUGUGCCAGGAGGACACCUGCAGCGCUGCCGCAGGGGUGGAAGUGAGCCACAGGCUGUAUGGAUAGUGCUGGGAAAACUGCACGGCUCUACAGAUCUGACGCGAAACCAGGGCGCUAUUUUUGGUUUCCAUUCUGCUUUUCUGACACCUGUAGGUAAGCGUGAAGUGCACAGCAGACUUCUGCAGCAUCCUGCAGAGCGAAGGAUCUGGGAUCACAGUGAGGCGUUCUUGCUUAGCGCUCAGGAUUAAUUAUAACCCAGGAAUAUGAACUGUAGAUGCGCUGGAGUCGCCAAGACACUCCGGAGGUGGCUGUGUGCCAGCACCUGAAUGAGGAGGUGCCACCGUGUCAGGACUCCUGGGAGCAGCAGGUAACACCCAGGUAUACUCAUCAGAUGCUUUAUGUGAUUUUUACCAGUGAAUCUGCACAAGCAAUUCCUUCCCAAACUCGCUUUAGGAACUGCAGCUUGGUCCUUGUACUGCUUUAACUCCCAGAGAAAUAAUCGUGCUUAACAAGACCUUCCUAUCUGCUGAAAAUAUAAUGACUGAAUUCCUGGUUUGUUUUAACUGGUGCAAUGGUGAACAGCCCCAGCCGAAGAGGCGUCGGAGACUGGACCGGAAUAUGAUAGGAGAACCAAUGAACUUUGUACACACUGCGCAUGUUGGGGCAGGAGAGAUGAGUAGUGACUACACAUCAGCUGUAUCAAUUCAGGACCACAUGAAGUCUAAAGGUGGCUACACAAAUGGCACUGCUGCAACUGUUGAGAUAUAGGAAACGGUGAGAAGGCCACAAUCUGCUCUGUCUUAUGAGGACCCCCUGGACUGUGCUUUCAGACUCUCCAAAACCUCUUCAUCAUGGAGUAGGCAGAGUUCUCAAAUUUUAAAUAGGUCAGUGCAAGCUCUGGUGUUCUUUGCGCAGCAGCUUCUGAAGGAGUUACUGUAAAUUAUCCUUAAAAUGGUCUGUCAUAAUAGUGUUGUAGUAGCAACUGGAAUUUGUCACUGUGCACGACUUCCUAGCUGUGUUCCAAAAAACUCACAAAGUUAUAAGAUGGGAUUGGGAGUCAGUAUGAAUUGCCUGGGGAUUUGGUCUGUCUUUUUCUCCCCUCAAGGAAUGCCGAGAUUGGUUUCAUUGGAAGGUAUCACAUGCCUGCAUUUCUUACAUGGGCUAACCCAAAUUGCUAAGUGGGAUCCUGUAAUAUAACUUUAGACCUGGUUUUUAGGUGGCUUACAACCUAAUGCAUAAAUCUACUGAGCUGUACUUUGGUAAUUUUUUAAUGUCUUUUGAUGGGGAGCAAACUCUAACAUACGUAGUUAGCUGAGUCUGCAAAACCUGGUGAAACUCCUGCCUUGCUGUGAUAACACUUUUGUAGCUAAAAUUGGAGGUUUUGCAAACAUGCCCACCCUCAACUCAGGCUUAGAAAAGCAGACCUUUCUCUCAAUUACUGGGCUCUCUCCCUUCCAUACGUGCACUAGUGCAACUGACAGGUAUUACUGCAACAGGGCUAAUAAUAAAUUACCUGUUAAUUUCAAGUGGUGCUACAAUAUGCUUACAAUUGUGUUAGUUUUACAUGACUACUAUUGAAUUUUAAACUAAACAUAUCUAAGAUCACUCUCUCUCUGUAACCUAUCUGUAAUGGUAACUACACAGGACUUCAAGGGAUAUCUCACUCAUCUUUCUGGCUCCUUGAUUUCAAGAUCCUUACUUUUUAGAUGACCUGAUUUUUUUCCUUGCAUACAAUUAAAUAAAAAGUAUGGAUUAAGUGAUUCAGUCUUGUGAAGGAUAACUUGCAGGAGAGUGUUAAAUGGAAACAGUGUCUUGCAGAGUUCCAGCACUCCAUAAAUAUUUAAAUAAACAGCCAUAAAUGUUUAGCCAUGCCCACCCUACAGUUUAUUAGCUGGUUCUUAUUCACCUUUCUAUUAAGUGAUGUGACCAAACGCUGAAGUAGAGCUGGGUUUUUUCUUUUACUCAGUCACUGACAACUGUUCCCCAGCUCAAAAUUGAGUGAUUGCAGGUACAGAAACUUAAGAAAUCUGCUUGCUGACAUGGGAUUAACUGAAUACAAGUGUUUAAAUUGCUGCCAUAUCGGUUAUGCUGGAAGUCAGCAGAACUCUCUCCUUGCUCUAGGCACAAGAUCAGUUAUGAACUUUUUUCCAUCUAAAAACCCAUACAGCUGGCAAGUCUUUUAACUUGCAUGAUUCUGUCUGUGGCUUCUGACACUUCUUAGAUCUCGACUGCUGGCUUAGCUGAAUUGGUAGGCUGCCUUUUCUGAGUAUACCAAGGAACCUAAAAUAAUGAAAGGUAGCUCUAUGUUUCUGUAUGCAUCCAAAAAAACCCAAAACCCUUCUCAAAGGGCCAAAGAGGGAGAGAGAUUGUUACUUUCUGUAACAGUCAACAGUUGAUCAUAACAUUCUGCAACCACAUAAGAGAACUCUAACAUCCAUGUUUUGCUAGAUCCUUACUCUUGAAUUGGAAUGCAUGCCAAAUUUUAAUAUAUUUUUAAAUUAGCAUGAGUUAGCUCUUUUAAAGUCUUUCAUAUUUCUGUCUUCUAACUUCAGAUUUAUUCCAAGAGCCCAGUUAAGACACAGAGUUUAAAACGGCUAAAUCCUGUAUACUGUUGAGGAAGCAUAAAGUGGCCAAGUUGUUUUUAAAGAGUAGAUUCAAAUUCAUCUGCUAUUAAAUUGAGGUCAUGCAUUCACUGGUCCAUGCCUCUCCAGAAAAAAUAGUGGUAGGGCAGCUGCCAUGAAAAUGGAUGGGUUUUGUUAACACUGUAAGAAACCCCACUGAACAAGAGUUAGUAUUUCCUAAAGACCCAUUCAGUACGUUUAUGAUUACUGGUGUCUGCAUAACCAGAGAUAAAGGCAUUGGUUAUCAUAUCAGUUCUUCUCUCUAAAAAUAAAUCAACAGAUUUUUGUUAUUAAGUCCUUAUUUAUAGAAAAAUCCUAGUUCCCAUUAUGUAAACCAAGUAGCACUAUCUGGUGUAAAACUAACCUGUUUUCAUCAGAUUCUAUAAUAUUAUAUAGGACCAUAUUAAAGUGUCACAUCAUUAAAAGGAAAUGUUUUGCUACUGCAUUAAGAGUGACAUUAAUUUUAAAAUCUAACCAAACAUAAAAGUAUGUCUUAGGACUUGGGGAGUUCUUCUGUUGUGUAUUUAGAAACCUUCUCUAGCUGUAACCUGUUAUGUAAUUCAGUAUAAACCCAUCUUGGUUAUAAUAAAUAUGUUGAACUAGGCACUCACACUCUUUUCAUAUUGUAGAAAGUCUUGGUGUUUUCUCUGUGCUGCAAACCUGUUGGUUAAGUGAUGGAUCAGCAUGGCUUGAGCUCUUACUGCACAAAAUAAAAUUUCUCCACCAGGGAGCACAAUUUUACAUCAAGUCUUUUCUGUCUGCUUUAUGCAAGAUUUCUCCAUUGUGGGAUGUGUGUGUGAGUUUGGAUUUCAGGCUUGACUGGAAUACAAUACAGCAAAUAAGACCAAAGGAUCAAACUUUUAAACCUACAUCAUAGGCUGCGAAGACCUUAUAUCAAGAUAAUGUGACAAUGAAACAUUACUGCUCUGGCUUCAUGGCAUUUUAUUAUUCCUUUUGGAAGGAAAAUGACAAGCAGAGCAGGAACAAGUCUUUUAUAUGCACAGUCUCAGCACUGCAUCUGUUUGCUUCCUUUAAAAAAAAAAGAAAAAUCAGGGUUGGGGGGAGUAACUGGUUUUUUUAAAUAUUAUCUGUCUUAUCCCUUGAUGU